AACUAACGCUGGCGGCGUGCCUAACACAUGCAAGUCGUACGAGAAAGCCGGCUUCGGCUGGUGAGUAAAGUGGCGCACGGGUGAGUAACGCGUGGAUAAUCUAGCCCUUAAGUGGUGGAAUAACGUACCGAAAGGUGCGCUAAUACCGCAUAAUGCCUGGCAACAUAAGUUGUCCGGCCAAAGAAGGCCUCUGCUUGCAAGCUUUCGCUAAAGGAUGAGUCCGCGUACCAUUAGCUAGUUGGUGGGGUAACGGCCUACCAAGGCGACGAUGGUUAGCUGGUCUGAGAGGAUGAUCAGCCACACUGGAACUGAGACACGGUCCAGACUCCUACGGGAGGCAGCAGUGAGGAAUAUUGCGCAAUGGGGGCAACCCUGACGCAGCAACGCCGCGUGAGUGAGGAAGGUUUUCGGACUGUAAAGCUCUGUCGAGCGGGAAGAAGUGUACCAUGGCUAAUAUCCAUGAUAUUUGACGGUACCGCUAGAGGAAGCACC
rnacentral:rRNA from 1 species